rnacentral:misc_RNA from 1 species
AGUCGAGGACACCCUUGUAGUAGCUCUUUAUGGAAUGAUAGAGGUUCGCCCCGUCGACAAAGACCGCGACCUUUUCCACAGAAUCUAGGUGCUCCACUCUUCCCACAGCGUUCCGCAUGUUACCAGAAAAAGCGAUGCGUCACGCCGUGUUCGGGCAGACGGCCGCGCGAGCUGGCUUGUAUGAUAUGCUCGUGCCUCGAAGAAGGCGACGCAAACUAGAGUUCGAGAAAUCCCUGGGUAGAGAGCGGAGCAUCAGCGCGGUGGAAUUCAAGGUCAGCAUAGACGAGCACGCCGACACCUACUCGGUCGUCGCGGUGCGCGGGGAGGUGGAUCUCCAUACGGCCCCGAAGGUUCAGUACGCUAU